rnacentral:rRNA from 1 species
GAUGAACGCUAGCGGCAGGCUUAAUACAUGCAAGUCGAGGGGCAGCAUGGUGUAGCAAUACACUGAUGGCGACCGGCAAACGGGUGCGGAACACGUACAGAACCUUCCUUCGAGCGGGGAAUAGCCCAGAGAAAUUUGGAUUAAUACCCCAUAGUAUUAUGGAGUGGCAUCACUUUGUAAUUAAAGAUUUAUCACUUGAAGAUGGCUGUGCGGCUGAUUGGGUAGUUGGCGGGGUAACGGCCCACCAAGCCUGCGAUCAGUAACUGGUGUGAGAGCACGAACAGUCACACGGGCACUGAGACACGGGCCCGACUCCUACGGGAGGCAGCAGUAAGGAAUAUUGGUCAAUGGACGAAAGUCUGAACCAGCCAUGCCGCGUGGAGGAUGAAGGUCCUCUGGAUUGUAAACUUCUUUAUAUGGGACGAAAAAAGGCCUUUCUAGGUCGUCUGACGGUACCAUAUGAAUAAGCACGGCUAACUCCGUGCCAGCAGCCGCGGUAA